GACGAACGCUGGCGGCGUGCUUAACACAUGCAAGUCGAACGGAAAGGCCCUGCUUUUGUGGGGUGCUCGAGUAGCGAACGGGUGAGUAACACGUGAGUAACCUGCCCUUGACUUUGGGAUAACUUCAGGAAACUGGGGCUAAUACCGGAUAGGAGCUCCUGCUGCAUGGUGGGGGUUGGAAAGUUUCGGCGGUUGGGGAUGGACUCGCGGCUUAUCAGCUUGUUGGUGGGGUAGUGGCUUACCAAGGCUUUGACGGGUAGCCGGCCUGAGAGGGUGACCGGCCACAUUGGGACUGAGAUACGGCCCAGACUCCUACGGGAGACAGCAGUGGGGAAUAUUGCACAAUGGGCGGAAGCCUGAUGCAGCAACGCCGCGUGCGGGAUGACGGCCUUCGGGUUGUAAACCGCUUUCGCCUGUGACGAAGCGUGAGUGACGGUAAUGAGUAAAGAAGCACCGGCUAACUACGUG
rnacentral:rRNA from 1 species